CUGGUGGCAUUAUUUUAUUUUCCAUAUCACAGAAAUUUACACUAUUAAAAAUCUUCCUUCCUAUUUUCCUCUGACAGAUACAGCCCCAAUUUACUCCAAGAGCUGAAAUUGAUUACUCUUUUACUCUUGAGGCUAUAAUUCUUAAGAGAUGUUUAAAAUUAACAUUCCAGAAGCAUUCCAGUCUCAUCUAUGAGACAAAUUUAUAGAUCAUUGUUUGCAUACAGUGUAGGUGAUGCUAGAGUAAGACUUUGACCCUAGGGGCUUGAAAGUACACAGCACAGCAAUUUAUUUAAUACAUUCCCAUCUUGGUUCUUCCUUAAAACCCAGAGAUAAACAAGACAUAAGCCACUCUGUAUGGAGAAUUAUUCUGUUAUCUCAAUUGGCAUUAAGCAGGAAGCCAAAGACCCUUAGGACAAAUUAAAAUUAAUUAAUAUACCAAAACAAUUCAAUACUAGGAUACUGAUCUUAAUUGGAAAUCAGUCUGAAAUUUGUAUUAGGACUUAUAGUAACUUCUAAGUGAACUGUCUAUAUAUCUUUAUUCAGAAUCACUAUUAGUCAGCUUAAGCCCUCAAAAGUUUGAUCAGAAAAUGACCCAAAACAAUGAACUGGACAAACCCUUGGGCAUCACUCUGAUGGCCUGAGGGAUGUACACCAUGUUGGAGGAAUCAAGCCCAAUUGCAGGAGCCACUUCAGUUACAGUUUUCCUGAGACUUCUUCCCCCAACAGGUAAUACAGGAUAAGGAGGCUCCCCGGCUGUCUGAAGCGCUCCAGUCCAGAUGGAAUAAUUCAUCUCAGGCGUAGAGAUAUAGUCCAUAUGGGACCAUGACCCUGCUUACUCCCAACCUCUAAUUCUACAGACAAGGGGACCAUGAGACUCGAGUGUCUUCCUCUCAACCAUCGCACUAAUUGGUGAUGGAAGGAAAGAGGAACUCCACUAAUGGAGAGAAGGUCCAGAGGAGGAGGGGAGAAAUAACAAGCAAGGUUUGCCUGGAAUGACUUGCUGUGGGAAAUCAAACGCUGUGGGCAGCCACUCAGAUUUCAGCAAGAAAGAGACUUGGGUAAAAUGAUUUUUCAGAAAAAGCGUACUUGCUGCUGCAUACAGAGCACAAUAAAUUAACUAUGUCAGAUUCCUUACCUCUGCACCUUUUGC